AGUGAACGCUGGCGGUAGGCCUAACACAUGCAAGUCGAACGGCAGCACAGUAAGAGCUUGCUCUUACGGGUGGCGAGUGGCGGACGGGUGAGGAAUACAUCGGAAUCUACUUUUUCGUGGGGGAUAACGUAGGGAAACUUACGCUAAUACCGCAUACGACCUACGGGUGAAAGCAGGGGAUCUUCGGACCUUGCGCGAUUGAAUGAGCCGAUGUCGGAUUAGCUAGUUGGCGGGGUAAAGGCCCACCAAGGCGACGAUCCGUAGCUGGUCUGAGAGGAUGAUCAGCCACACUGGAACUGGGACACGGUCCAGACUCUUACGGGAGGCAGCAGUGGGGAAUAUUGGACAAUGGGCGCAAGCCUGAUGCAGCCAUAGCGCGGGGGUGAAGAAGGCCUUCGGGUUGUAAAGCCCUUUUGUUGGGAAAGAAAAGCAGCAGGUUAAUACCCCGCUGUUCUGACGGUACCCAAAGAAUAAGCACCGGCUAACUUCGUG
rnacentral:rRNA from 1 species